CUAGUACUCCCUCCGUUCGGAAUUACUUGUCGCAGAAAUGGAUGUAUCUAGACGUAUUUUAGUUUUACAUACAUCCAUUUCCGAGACAAGUAAUUCCAAACAGAGGGAGUAGUUC
rnacentral:pre_miRNA from 1 species